AUCGUGCAAGCUUUCAAUAAAGAGCUUGAGGAGGCCGUUAAAACUCUCGGUCAAAGAGGUAGUAGAAUUUCUAGGAUAUACAAUACAUAGGUAAUGUACAUGGAGAUGAGCCUGUUGGCUGAUAGCUUCUUUUGCAAUUUGCUAACUGAAUAUGUGAUAGUACCUGAAGGAUCCAUUUUUACCCCAUAUAUGGUGGCAUGCAAGUCUGGAACUGUAUAUACGGUGGCUGUUUUGAGUAAACUUCAGAGAUUACAGAAUAGAUGGCCUCCUGAUAAUGAGCUUGCUACCAUUUUUUAGUACAACAAAAGCUUGUUGCAAGCUUUAUUCAGACAGGAAUACAUUGAAGAAUUUUUUUCAUCAGAGUGGAAGGCCGUUACCUGCAACCAUUUCACUCGGGAAUAGAUUACUCGGUUAAAGCUAGUCAAAAGUUUGCCGAUUCUAUCACCUGUUAGCUGCACCAAGACAGAAAUACGAAGGUAAGUGCUUCCGUUUCCCU